rnacentral:rRNA from 1 species
ACUGUACCCCGCGAAUCAGGCUCGGCUAACUCUGUGCCAGCAGCCGCGGUAAGACAGAGGAGCCAAGCGUUGUCCGGAUUGACUGGGCGUAAAGCGCACGCAGGCGGCUGGGCACGUGGGGUGUGAAACCUGGCGGCUUAACUGCCAGACGCCAUCCCAUACGGCCCGGCUCGAGGCAGGCAGAGGUUCGUGGAAUUGCCGGUGUAGUGGUGAAAUGCGUAGAGAUCGGCAGGAACACCAAGGGCGAAAGCAGCGAACUGGGCCUGUUCUGACGCUCAGGUGCGAAAGCGUGGGGAGCGAACCGGAUUAGAUACCCGGGUAGUCCACGCCGUAAACGAUGAAUACUCGGCAUCUUUCGACCGAUUUUCGGCCGAGGGGUGCCCCAGCUAACGCGAUAAGUAUUCCGCCUGGGAACUACGAGCGCAAGCUUAAAACUCAAAGGAAUUGACGGGGGCCCGCACAAGCAGCGGAGCGUGUGGUUUAAUUCGACGCAACGCGCAGAACCUUACCCAGGUUUGACAUGCACCUGCAAGCCGGUCAAAGCCGGUCGCCUUCGAGG